UCCAUCUCCUCUUUUGGAAUCAACCAUGAGUUCACUUCAAUGUUAUAUCCUUUGCUCAUUAGUUCUGUGGGUAUCCUUGUUUGUUUGAUUACAACACUCUUCGCCACUGAUUUCUUUGAAAUCAAGGCUGUAAAGGAAAUUGAACCAGCAUUGAAGAAGCAGCUUAUUAUCUCCACUAUUCUGAUGACUGUGGGCAUUGCUAUUGUAACCUGGAUUGGCUUGCCUUCAUC
rnacentral:misc_RNA from 1 species